rnacentral:tRNA from 1 species
AGGGUUGUGGCUCAGUGGUAGAGCACCUGCCUAGCAUGCAUGAGGCACAGGGUUCAUUUCCUGACACCACAU